rnacentral:lncRNA from 11 species
UGAGUCAGAGGCAUCCAUGCCUCACUGUGAUUUAGAUAUCUGUGGGAACCUCGGAAGAGAAUCUUGGUCUCAUCACUCAAGGAUUACAUCUCACUUGGAGUGGGCACACGCUGUACAACGGGCUGGGAAAAACGUUGGCAUGAAAAUACCCCCAAUUUUCCAACAGAAGAUGGAGCGGGGAUCCUUCACAUGGAAAUAUGGAAAGUCUGCAUUUUGGGUCAUCAGCUGAUUUUUCGAUCUUGGCCUGAAUUGCAUUUGUUCUGAUGUCUUGCUCCUGGGCUGCAAGGAUCAGGCCUUCUGUCUCCUUCUUCAGUGUCCCAUUUGUGAACCAGAGCCAGGUAUUAU